CAGUAGCCGCGGUAAUACGUAGGGUGCAAGCGUUAAUCGGAAUUACUGGGCGUAAAGCGUGCGCAGGCGGUUCUAUAAGACAGAUGUGAAGUCCCCGGGCUCAACCUGGGAACUGCAUUUGUGACUGUAGAGCUGGAGUGCGGCAGAGGGGGAUGGAAUUCCGCGUGUAGCAGUGAAGUGCGUAGAUAUGCAGAGGAACACCGAUGGCGAAGGCAAUCCCCUGGGCCUGCACUGACGCUCAUGCACGAAAGCGUGGGGAGCAAACAGGAUUAGAUACCCCAGUAGUCCCUGUCUCUUAUAC
rnacentral:rRNA from 1 species